rnacentral:rRNA from 1 species
UGCCAGCCGCCGCGGUAAUACGAAGGGACCUAGCGUAGUUCGGAAUUACUGGGCGUAAAGCGCACGUAGGCGGAUUAGUAAGUUAGAGGUGAAAUCCCAGGGCUCAACCCUGGAACUGCCUUUAAUACUGCUAGUCUUGAGUUCGAGAGAGGUAAGUGGAAUUCCGAGUGUAGAGGUGAAAUUCGUAGAUAUUCGGAGGAACACCAGUGGCGAAGGCGGCUUACUGGCUCGAUACUGACGCUGAGGUGCGAAAGCGUGGGGAGCAAACAGGAUUAGAUA